ensembl:lncRNA
UAUUAAAUGACUGAAUACAUGCAGGACCCCUGGAGCAGUGCCUGGCACAGAGAAAGUGUUCCAAGCAUUAACUAGUACAUCAUGCUGGGUUGGAUGAAACACAAGCUGGAAUCAAGAUUGCUGGGAGAAAUAUCAAUAACCUCAGGACUGAUGCUGUAGCUGAAGCUCCAGUACUUUGGCCACCUGAUACGAAGAGCUGACUCAUUAGAAAAGACGCUGAUGCUGAAAAAGAUUGAAGGCAGGAGGAGAAGGGGACAACAGAGGAUGAAAUGGUUGGAUGGCAUCACCAACUCAACAGACAUGAACGUGAGCAAGCUCUGGGAGUUCGUGAAGGACAGGGCAACCUGGGGUGCUGCAGUCCAUGGGGUCGCAGAGAGUCUGACACGACUGAGCCACUGAACUGAACUUUCCAGUUUAUCCCAGGACAAGGUUUCUGAGGACUUUAAACUCCCAACCACUCCACCACCAGCUCCUCUCUUUUGGAUCUGAG